CUCCCUCCUACUGACGGCGUGGAGCACCCAAAAGCGAAUUUUGGAGCAAACGUGAAGCGCGCUGUUGAUCUGGUUUCCUUGGAAGGGCAAGAAGGCUCCUCCUCUUCCAAAAGACAAGCAGGCUUCUCUGAGCUUCCCUGGAUGCUAUCCGUGCAAGGACUCCUUCCCAGGUCCUGCCUCCUGAGCAGAAGCUUGUAACUUUUUUAACAAGCAUCAUUCCAGCUAGAGGAAGGCAGAGCUGCAGAUCACAGGUCCAGGAGAAGGCAGGAGCUUAAAGUGGCGUCCAUUGUUUUCGCCUCCUCAUUUAAUUCCCACAACAACCCUGCGAGGUAGGCAAGGCUGAGAGGCAGUGACUGGCCCAAGGUCACCCAGUGAGCUUCAUGUCCGUGGGGAUUCGAACAGGUGUCUCCCAGGUACUUGUCUAACACUCUAAUCACUACACCAUGCUGGCUCUCAUUGUAAUGACUCUCAUUACAGAUUCCUGAGUUUAAUUCUGCUAAGCUUUUUCCAUCACAUAAAUUAGCCAGGAUUAUCCCCCAGGGUUAUUUUAACUGGAAAGGCUGCUGUGUUUUUGUUUUUGUUUAGUUGGGGGGCAGAUAACUUGGGGGGGGUAGAUUAAGGUUUAUAAAACCCUGUGUUUGGAUUUCCUGGGACCAUCUGAUUGGCGACAGUCAGGAGUCUCAUAAAAUCCUAGAAUUGUGGAGUUGGAAGGGACCAUGAGGGUCAUCUAGUCCAACCCCCUGCAAUGUAGGAAACUUUUGCCCAACAUGGGGCUUGAACCCAUGACCCUGACGUUAAGAGUCUCAUGCUCUGUCAAGUAGGGAGCAGCAGGCUGGAUGAGAUGGACCCAUGGCUUGAUGCAGCUGGACACUUUCUUAUGUUUAGCCACAACAGGUUCUGGGUGGCAGGUCCUUGCUGAGAAAUUCAAAGUUUUGUGCCUGCUCUAACACCUCUUCCUCUUUCCUUGUGCCCCUUCUGCAUAGAUUAAUACAUGUUUGGAAGCUAAUUUAUUUUAGUUUUUGUUAAUUCAGUUAUAUUUGAGGGAGGGGAGACAGUCUCCAGUGACCCUUGAAGGUCCAGCCACUUUCCAUUUUCCAAUUUCCACUUUCCACUGACCCAAUUGCAGCGAUGGAUUUGGGGUGGUGCGGGUGCUUCCCCUCCACAGGGUGCUGAGCUGAGGGGGUAAAUAAUAAUAAUAACAAUACCUAUAUUUAUAUUGAUGCCUUGCUCUGGAUGCCAUAUUACCAAAGCCCACCCCCGCCUGAUUGCUUUCAGAACAAGGAACCUGUAAUUAAGAAGGCAGCAGAUUCAGGCACCAGAGGAAAUUGUUGUCAAAGUGGACCUGGAGUGAUUUCUCCCGAAACACAGAGAGUACUAAAGAAGGAUUGUGUGUUGGUAGCAGAGCAGAAGGUCCUAGAUUCAACCCCCAGCAUCUCCAGGUAGGGCUGGGAUAAAUACCUCUGCCUAAAACUCCAGAGAACAGCUGCCGGUCAGUUUAGACAAUAAUGGCAUAGACGGAGAAAUGGUCUGAGUUGGUAUAAGACAGGUUUCCUGUAUCUUGUGGCACUGGCAUAGGCGAUGUAAACUUUCCCUUCCAAAUUCUUGCAGGUGUGUUUUUACCCCUUGAUCAAAGCAGAGGCUGCAGCCCUGCUUGCUGCGCUCACCAACCUCCACCAUGCCAUUCUCCCUACAUUCACCCACUCCCUUGCCGUGUUGUAGAACCUGCCUCUCUUUUGCUCCCUGGUCCCACCCAGUCCAGGAUUGUGAUCCUGCACUACAAAUCCUCCAGUGGGGCCUGUUUUCUGACUUCAUACAGAUCCUUCCGUUGGGGGCUGUGCGAUGAAAGCCUUACGUUUUUUAUGGACAUAGGAGCACGGUGGGUGGGUGUGUAUUUUGGCCAUUUUGCAUUAGGAAAGUAGGGAGCUGCUUUACACUAGGUCAGACUGCUCAACCAUCGAGCCCAGUCAUGUCUGCUCUGACUGGCAGCAGUUCUCUAGAGUCCCAGGGUAUGUUUGCAUUUGCGGUUUAAACACAGCAAGGUCAUUUUGUACAGUGUUCUUCACAUCACAGAGGGGAUGGGGAUGUCUUAACCCGACGGGCAUGAACUUUUUGGUUCCCCACCCCAGGCCACCUUUCUCUGGGAACUCCUACACCUGAAGCUAUGAUAUGAGCAGGCGUACUUAUUUGGGCAUGCGCAACAGCUGUUGGGAUAUAUUCACAUUACCACUUACUCCACAUCCAGCUUUCUAGUCAAAUUGCAAUUUUUUUAAAACUGCAUUUAUAUCCC